UUUUUGUAUGUAUGUAUGCUUUCUGUUUACCGCAACGAGUUUCCAAGCCGCUGCAUAUGAGUGGAAAAUUGAAAAGAGGGGCUUGCUUGUGACCCAAAUAAAAGAAACAGGUUGAAGUUGUUAGUAUUAAGCAAUGCUACGUAGAGUAGGUUGCUAGACCAUAGUUAAUUUUCAGUCUAAUUAAAGGCGAUUAAAGUUUAUCCAAAUGGGCCUAUAUUGAAAGCGGAACGAAAAACACAAAAGACGAAAAUAACUCAAAAACAACACUUUACAGAGGCAACGUCGACGCGCGCACAACGUUGUAAGCGAACCAACGCAACAAAA